ACCCCCAGGGCAGGCCCCAGUUCUCUGGAGCAGCCCCUCUGCCUGGGCACCAAGGGCAGGAGUUGGGGUUGGGACCGGCUGGCUAGGGAAGCGUAAAUGGAGACCCGGGGCGCCCCCUGGCGGCAAGGCUGCGCCCCUUCCCCACGGGAGCCGACUGCCACCUGGCGGCCCGAGAUCCCGACCCCCACCCCCACCCCCACCCGGCAAUCCUGGCACCCACAGGUACCCCCUGGAUCUCGAGGAUGAACUUCCUUGCAAAUGGUCUGCUGCCAAGGAUCCCCUAGGGCCCUAGGAGGAGGGCGCUAGACAGGCUACACCGAAUGAAUCUGGGGUGGGGUGUGUCACAGGUACCUGGCCUGAGUCCUGGGUUUGUUCGGUUUAGCCAGAUCCCGCGUUAUGCUCUAGAGGUUAGUGGCACUCUCGUCCCUGACCCCCACCCCUUCCCCUGACGGGGAAACUGAGGCUCAGACAUUAAAUCACUUGGUAGGCGACAGUGGCAGGCCCACAUUCUGGUCCUGGCUGCCCUGCUGUCCCCAAUACCUCCAGGCUCUCCUGGCUCGGGCCCCAGUGUGUGUGGGCAUCCAGCCCCCCUGGAGGUUUGCUCCCCUAUCAGACAGGACAGGUGCCCUUUGAGGUUUGUGGUGACUGUUACACCACGGUGAAGGGGACACGGCCCAGGAGCGCCCUCCCGUGCAAGCACAGCACUCAUCCAUGGCUGGGAGGUGCAGAAGGCAGCUGGACACCUUGGCACGGCUUUGCGGGGGACACAUACCAGGAGGCCCUGAGGAGGCAGCCCAGUGGUGGAGCUGGUGUGGGGAACACUUUGAAGGGGCAGAAACGCACUGGGGCAGGGGCAGGGGGUUGGAGCUGGGACCCUAAGCCAACGCUGUAGGGGCAGCAGGUACUGAGCUAGCUUCUGCUUCCAGGGACGGGGGAAGUGACUGUCCAUCUCAUCACACUACGGCCGAGUGUCUGGACUUCAGGCCAAGUCUGUCUGAAUCCAAAGCCUUCUCCACACAGAGCUGGGAAGUGAAGGAAUCACAAGACCCUCCUGAUGUUACAGCAAGAGGAACGAGCCAAGAGGAAGGGGAGCCAGUGUUGGAGGAUUGCUAGUCCUUGAAGAUUCUCUUUGGAGGGACAGGGACACUGGUGCCUGCAGUCAUUAAGGGAGAAAGUGAGUAAUGAACUCUCAUCAUUCCCUGGAGACCAACAUGACACCCUUUGAGGUAGGGGAAAUUUUAGUGGAUCCCUCACCUUGUCAAGAUGUCAAAGAAUGCACUCAGGUAAGAUGUGGGAAGCUCUAAGGAUACUCAUUUCUUUAGUUUGGCUGCCCAGUCUGCUCCCAAACAUCUGUCUUUCUAAAUGGAUCCAAAUCACCUCCACUUUCCCCGCCGAACCAAAGAGCUGCUUCAUCAUCUUGGAACCACUUGAGCACCCUUCCUCAGGCUGCUCCUCUUCGCUGCCUCCUGUCACUGCCUCUGACCAGGCCCCAUGGCAUCUGGCAUUGUAUGUGUUUGUUUUUUGGUACUAGGGAUUGAACUCGGGACCUUCCAAUUGUGAAGUAGGCGGUGAAACCACUGAGCUAAAUCCCCGGCCCAGGCAUUGUGUGUCAAGAAGUGCUGGUUUCCUGAUCCAGAUCCUCAUUGCUGCCAGGUCCAGGACAAAGGUCUACUUACUCCCUGCACCCUGCUGGCUCACUUUCAGAGCCCCUGGUCCUGGAUGGAGGCAGAACCCCUCCUCCUUGUACUGAAGCUGUCUAGGAUCCAAUCUGUCUUGCUAGCUCGCCUCCCUAAUGCCCAUCAUCAAGCCCCACAUUCACAGGUCCACUGGACAUGCUCUCCCAGCUCCAUGGCUGUGCUCAGAGAAGCUUCUCUUACUCCCACACCCAAAUCCCAAAGGUAAACUUUGAUGCCUCUGAUCUGAAGUUGUUUUUGGAGACAGGAUCUCGCUAUGUAGUUCAGGCUGGCCUUGAACUCAGUGAUCCUCCUGCCUUUCUAGUGCAGAGAUUAGAGGCAUGAGGAGACACUCUGCUUUUAUACUCCCAGAGCACCCUAUGGGUUUGGUGUACAGCUGAGAAGACAGCUGUGUGAGAAACGGCUGUCUUCCCCCCGAGCUUGCUGCAGACACUCUGAGGGUACUGUAGCUUCCUCUCCAUUUUGAUAGCCCUCAGUAGUGCCAAUGCUGAGACCAGGUUGGAACCACUGUCAGGCACCUCCUGCAGUGCAAGAAUCACUGGGACAAGGUAAUCCCAGGAUCAUUUUCCCCCCCGGUUGUGAAUUAGCUCAAAUCCUAGUGAUUAGAGGAUUAUAGCAUAGGAUCAUGGCAAGUUCAACAAAAAGCAUGGAAGAAGUCCAUGUUCAUGAAGAACUCACUGACAAUGCUCCAAAUUUCCAAAUGACUUCAUUUCUCAUCAGCGUGGCCACAAACUUAAUCAGAAUCCCAAAAUCAUAAAUUCCGGGAAACUUGCCUUUAUUACCCUGGUGAGAAAAGUUCUUUGGGAAGUGCUGGCUCCCUACCACAGGUGAUCCCAAGGAACAAAACAGCCAUGACAGAUGAACAUCUUAUGCGAAGGAAAAAUCAAGAUACAUCAGGAAAUGCAACUC